rnacentral:rRNA from 1 species
UACGAAGGGGGCUAGCGUUGCUCGGAAUUACUGGGCGUAAAGGGAGCGUAGGCGGAUAGUUAAGUCAGAGGUGAAAGCCCAGGGCUCAACCUUGGAAUUGCCUUUGAUACUGGCUAUCUUGAGUAUGGGAGAGGUAAGCGGAACUCCGAGUGUAGAGGUGAAAUUCGUAGAUAUUCGGAAGAACACCAGUGGCGAAGGGCGGCUUACUGGCCCAUUACUGACGCUGAGGCUCGAAAGCGUGGGGAGCAAACAGGG